AACAAUUCUCUUGGUGGUCUGCCCUCAAACCGUCAGGUUUCCAUAGCCCUAACAAUGUGGCCGUGGAUCAUGGGGGAGCUAGCAUUGCCUCCAGGGUGAUGUCACAAUUCCCAAAUCCUUGCACUAGGUGGGGCCAGCCUCCUGUUGUGUAGACUCAUCAACUAUACCAGUCCUCUGUUCCUGGUCUCUGGAGCUUCAAUUUGGGAAAGUGACCCAUUAGCUUCUGAGGACCAGGGUGAGAGAGGGCAAACUUGAAUGCCCUUCACAAUGGAGAGAUGUGUGCAGACCGGACAGACAUCAGUUCCUUUAUCAGUGCACAGGUAGCUGCAAUGUAAGUGGCUAGUGUGCAGGAACAGCCAGGGAGCUGAAGGAUAAACACUUUGGCUUCAUUCUCCUGGAGGGGACAGUUCUGAGUCCUCAUGCCCCCGCCCCCCUCCUUCAGAGACCACACCUCGGCUGCUCACAGCAAUGGCUGCCCAUCAACUCACCCUUCAAUGCUUCCACCCCCACACUUCCGGUCCCUCUUCCUCACUCUCUUACAGAUGCUUCCUGGAAUCCUCUCUCAAAUAAACUGCUUGCCUCCAAAUCCUUGUCUCAGGCCUGCAUGUGGAGAGAUAAAACCCAGACAAAGAGGCAGACAUGAGCAGAUGAGCUCCCCCGAACAGGAGACAAGUGGGCUGAGAGGUGAAGGAAGAGGAUGAGCUCCAGCAGCCUAAGGGCUAUCCUCUGAAGCAGAGUCACAGAGCCGAGUGUAGCAAGAAAAGGCUCGGUGAUGCCUGGGGAGGCGACGCCGGCAGUCAGAAGAAUCCAAAGGAGCCUUGACAGCGUCACUGCAGACAAACCUGUCUCCACUGACUGCCCUACUCAGACUCUGCCUGUCUGUGGUGGCCCACUCUCCUCGGGGUGGAUCGGCCUAAGAGUUUCAUUAAAAUCAAGGGGACGGGGAUUGUGGGUAGUGUUGGGACCCAGUAAAGCCCUGGGCUUAAUGGAUCAGAACCAAAACCCCAGCUCCACAUGGGCAGCCCUCAGUUUUCAUGGGUCAGCCCUUUCUGAGAAACCCAGCCAGGGAGGAGCACAGGACCAGCAGCAGGGGAUGCUUCUAAACCCAUAUCUCACUGGAUAAGCUCAUCACCUUCCAAGCCUCUGAAGAACAUUUACGUUCCUAUAAGUUUCUGAAGCCACGUUCAAAUCGUAGCUCUACCACCAAUGAGCUGCACGUUGGAGGGGAAGUGAAUUCACCCCAGACCUGAGUUCCACAUCCCUAGACUGGGUGAGAGGGCCUCUGCCCAGGCUCUCCAUGAGGAUGACCUGCACCGUGUGCCUUUAAUGCACUUAGAACAGCAGGUGCCUCAGUAAACGCUCACUGCCAUUCUGCGAUCAUUAUUGCAUUCACUUCCUGGGGCUGCUGCAACAAAGUACCACACCCUGGGGGCGAAAACAACAGACCCUGACCGUGCCGAUGCUGGAAGUCUGAGAUCAAGGUGUGGGCAGGGCUGGUUCCUUCCGAGGACUGUGAGGAAGACUGUUCCACGCCUCUCUGCAGCUCCGGGUGGUUUGCAGGCAACCUUUCCAUUGCUGGCUUUGCAGACACAUCACCCAGUCUCUGCCCUCAUGUUCACAUGGCUCUCUCCCUGUGUGUGUGUGUCUGCGUCCCAGCCUCCCCUGUUUAUAAGGACAUAGUGGCAUUACAUGACUACUAUUACUCUGAUAGGGCCUCAUCUUAACUAACUACAUCUGCAAAUAACCCAUUGCCACAUAAGGUAGCAUUCUGAAGUACUAGGGGCUAGGACAUCAACAUAGGAAUUUGGGGAGCACAUAAUUCAACCCAUGAUAAUGAUUAUCGUGAUUAUUAUUAAGAAUAUAUAACCACUGUAGGAUGAAAGCAAAUACUGUAAAAUCCUACUCAUAGGUUUGCAGGGAUUAAAUGGCAUCACUGGAAAAUUGUCUGACACAAAGAAGGGGUUCAACAAAUGUUGUUUUACUUCCUCACUGUCAGCCUAAAUAUAGAAAGUAUUUGCUCAUUGGCCCGACAGACAAGUUUUGACUUCUAGUUUUAUACCAGCUUUAUGUAUACAUGCUUAUAUGUCGUAUGUGACAUUUUGUACAUAUAAACAUUAGUUCUGCCUUCUAAUGCUAUUUUGAAAUCACCUUUCCCUUGUUAAAGUGUUCUUUUGAAAUUAUAUAAAAUAGCUGAAUAGUAUUUUAAAGCCAAAAUGCUACAAUUUACUUGCCAUGUUUUAUAAUUUGCUUACAUUCAGAUGGUGUACCAUCUUGUGUUCUGUUAUGAAAUAGCACAACCAUGCAUAAAUGACCCUGCCAUCCUACCCCUAGAACUUUAUUUACCAUGAAAUGCCUCCACGUACUUUCAUUUGCAUGUCUUGAGAACUGAACCGUAGACCCCUCUUCCCUGUCAGUGUUGACCAUCGAUAUUUCCUCCCACAUGUGGCUUCUGUUUCUGUCUCUGGGCAGAUUUAUUCUAACCUGCCCUCAAAUCUGUAAGAAGAUUGUUCAUUCCCUAGGGCUAGUCCAAGUCUCCUGGCCUGGUGCUUACUUCAAAUUCACCUAAAUCUGGCAUAAAAGCUUUCAGGACAAGGUGGAUCAAACUGCGCCCUUGUGUGAGUACUCCCUGGACAGAAUGUCUGGUUAUCUUCGGUGUAAGUUAUUUCCCAUGACUCACAAAUAGAAAUCAGGAGAGGAGGGAGGUAGGAGGUGCAAGCCUCUGCAGCUGUCUGGAGAGUCAGCAAAAGGGAGACAGAAUCUUUAGUUACUUCACAUGUGUGACAAUACGCCUAUGUUUUGUUUUAUGUUGUUUAUUUCUUAUGUAACAUUGUUGAGUUAUCAAAUGAAGUGGUGUAUAAAAAUGUCAAAUAAACAGGUUCUCUCCCUUUCUUCCUGACCACAUAACUCUAAGAAGCAUGGCCAGACCCGCCGGGCGCGGUGGCUCACGCGUGUGAUC
rnacentral:lncRNA from 1 species